UACAGAGGGUGCGAGCGUUAAUCGGAAUUACUGGGCGUAAAGCGUGCGUAGACGGUCAUGUAAGUCGGGUGUGAAAGCCCCGGGCUCAACCUGGGAAUUGCAUUCGAGACUGCAAGGCUUGAAUCUGGCAGAGGGGGGUAGAAUUCCACGUGUAGCAGUGAAAUGCGUAGAGAUGUGGAGGAACACCGAUGGCGAAGGCAGCCCCCUGGGUCAAGAUUGACGCUCAUGCACGAAAGCGUGGGGAGCAAACAGG
rnacentral:rRNA from 1 species